GUAGGUAUCUGGGUCAUCAUGGGGUCAGAGACUUCAUUUCUUGUAAAACUCUGUUAAGAUUUUUCUAAAAUAUCCACCCUCCCUUCCCCAUGUGAUGCUUUCCAUGCUGCUCAACAAAUGAGAGAGGAAAACCCCUUUGUAACGGACACCCAGAGACAGAUAUAGACACAGAGACAAGGACGGACAGACUCGCAGGACAAUAUUCAAGCAGGCAGAGAUUGAGAUUCGUGCAGCGGACAGGCAGGGUGAUGGAGACAUGGAAGAGGGAAGUAGAAGACUCGAAGCUGGGGCUCUUCUUCCACACGUUACUGGGACUCGAGUUUAUUGUCGAUGAGCACAAACCGACUGCACCGGUGGACAUAAGAUCCCUACUAACUUAAGAAGGAAGAGAGAGGACAACAGCAGAUCAGCAGAAUAUAGAGCAUCAAAUAGACACUGAAGAUGGCUGCAGUAAGACUUACGUAGGCACAAGGUCACCUCAUGGGAUGUUUACUCCCUUUCACAUCUGCAUUACGCUUCCCAGCUUCUCAGUCUGCUGAAAGGUGAUGAGGCAAGUGGAGAGUGGAGACUAAGAAACAGAAAACAGGCAAUCAGUGACUGUCCCGCGCUAUCGUCUUGCCAGC
rnacentral:sRNA from 1 species